rnacentral:rRNA from 1 species
GAUGAACGCUGACAGAAUGCUUAACACAUGCAAGUCAACUUGAACUUCGGUUUGGGUGGCGGACGGGUGAGUAACGCGUAAAGAACUUGCCUCACAGCUAGGGACAACAUUUGGAAACGAAUGCUAAUACCUGAUAUUAUGAUUAUAUGGCAUCGUAUAAUUAUGAAAGCUAUAUGCGCUGUGAGAGAGCUUUGCGUCCCAUUAGCUAGUUGGAGAGGUAACAGCUCACCAAGGCGAUGAUGGGUAGCCGGCCUGAGAGGGUGAUCGGCCACAAGGGGAAUGAGACACGGCCCUUACUCCUACGGGAGGCAGCAGUGGGGAAUAUUGGACAAUGGACCGAGAGUCUGAUCCAGCAAUUCUGUGUGCACGAUGAAGUUUUUCGGAAUGUAAAGUGCUUUCAGUUGGGAAGAAAAAAAUGACGGUACCAACAGAAGAAGUGACGGCUAAAUACGUG